AACGAACGCUGGCGGCGGGCCUCAUACAUGCAAGUCGAGCGCGAAAGUCCGCAAGGAUGAGUAAAGCGGCGCACGGGUGAGUAACGCGUGGAUAAUCUACCCUUUGGAUUGGAAUAACCUGUCGAAAGACGGGCUAAUGCCAAGUAAGCUCUCGGAAAUAGUGAUGUUUCUGCGAGGAAAGAUGGUGCAAGCUAUCGCCGAAGGAUGAGUCUGCGUCCCAUUAGCUAGUUGGUGGGGUAAAAGACUUACCAAGGCAAUGAUGGGUACCUGGUCUGAGAGGAUGACCAGGCACACUGGAACUAG
rnacentral:rRNA from 1 species